GAUUCCUACCCGCCUCCUAUACAUGCAGUCGAGCGGACAGAUGGGAGCUUGCUCCCUGAUGUUAGCGGCGGACGGGUGAGUAACACGUGGGUAACCUGCCUGUAAGACUGGGAUAACUCCGGGAAACCGGGGCUAAUACCGGAUGGUUGUUUGAACCGCAUGGUUCAAACAUAAAAGGUGGCUUCGGCUACCACUUACAGAUGGACCCGCGGCGCAUUAGCUAGUUGGUGAGGUAACGGCUCACCAAGGCAACGAUGCGUAGCCGACCUGAGAGGGUGAUCGGCCACACUGGGACUGAGACACGGCCCAGACUCCUACGGGAGGCAGCAGUAGGGAAUCUUCCGCAAUGGACGAAAGUCUGACGGAGCAACGCCGCGUGAGUGAUGAAGGUUUUCGGAUCGUAAAGCUCUGUUGUUAGGGAAGAACAAGUACCGUUCGAAUAGGGCGGUACCUUGACGGUACCUAACCAGAAAGCCACGGCUAACUACGUGCCAGCAGCCGCGGUAAUACGUAGGUGGCAAGCGUUGUCCGGAAUUAUUGGGCGUAAAGGGCUCGCAGGCGGUUUCUUAAGUCUGAUGUGAAAGCCCCCGGCUCAACCGGGGAGGGUCAUUGGAAACUGGGGAACUUGAGUGCAGAAGAGGAGAGUGGAAUUCCACGUGUAGCGGUGAAAUGCGUAGAGAUGUGGAGGAACACCAGUGGCGAAGGCGACUCUCUGGUCUGUAACUGACGCUGAGGAGCGAAAGCGUGGGGAGCGAACAGGAUUAGAUACCCUGGUAGUCCACGCCGUAAACGAUGAGUGCUAAGUGUUAGGGGGUUUCCGCCCCUUAGUGCUGCAGCUAACGCAUUAAGCACUCUGCCUGGGGAGUACGGUCGCAAGACUGAAACUCAAAGGAAUUGACGGGGGCCCCGCACCAAGCGGUGGGAGCAUGUGGUUUAAUUCGAAGCAACGC
rnacentral:rRNA from 1 species